AUUCCCAGGCCUGGGCUCUUGCCACUAGGCCAUGCUGCUUCUCUACACACUAAGUGCUCAAUAAAUACCAUUGAUGGAUUGAUUCACAUUUUAGUAUAAUGCUUCAUUUCCAUGGAAAUUAAAAUCCACCGAAGCUAUCUAGAUGUUCUAGCAAACCUCAACCAAGUUGAUGACUGCCACAGAACCACAAGCCAUUAGGCACUUUGUUUACGACUGCAGAUCCAACAGCCGUCACACCACCGGCCACUGCGGAUACUCCUCCUUUGACGAGCCCUAUUCCCAUGGAAGGCACUGAAGUAACAGCCGUCUUGGUCACCUCCAGACUCUUCCCUCCAAUCCAAACUACCCCACCAAGCGUGGCACCGACGGCUCCCUUUGUUACACUGAACAGGCCACCAGUCACACGAGAGAGCAUACCAGGUUGUUGCUGGGGAUGAUCUUUCAUUGAACCUAAUUAGAGAAAAUGGACAGAAAAUCCAAAUCAAGACCUUUAAUAGCACACAACUAUCAUCCCAGGGCCGCCUAGCCAUAAGGCUAUUUUAAAACUUAAACUUCCCAGAGUCUGAACACACGGACCCAGCCAUCUCCUCUAUCCCCUGUAGCCCCGGAGUCUGGAUGGAAGGCAAGCUAAAGUUCAGAAUAAGGGAGUUUGUAGAGGAUGCCUGGGUUCUGUUUUCUUACCUAGGGCCUCCUGAGCCCCACUUCUGGACCACAAUAGAAACCAAGUACCCUGGAAUAUCAUGCCCAGGCCAGAGGUCUGCAACUUUUGGCUUAACUGAACAAUUACAUCGGGUGGUACUGUAAAUGCUAAGCACUUAAUGAAUACCAGCUCUCCUCAUCCUGCUACUGGACGGCAGAAGAGGACGAUGGGCUGUAUUCAGCAGAUCUCCUCUAAAGACACUCCAUUUUGAACCAUCAUAACAUUCCCAGCCAUUUGGCCAGAAGAUAGAAAAGUCUGAAAUCCUGUUUCAGAGCUAGGUGUUGAUUCACGCUUGACGUAUAGCUCUAUAAAUAUUGAUCUGUAUGAUAUUAGUUGUACUGUAAUAGUGUAAUACUAGUGCAUUUUGAAUAGCGCUUGGGAAUUUUUAACCUAGGUGAGCAUGCGGCAAACAUUGGGAAAAAAUACCUUUAAAAAUAGUGUAUUUCUGGGCAUAGUUGCCUUAAUUUGUUGCCCACAAAAUAGGGGGGCACAAUGUCAUAAAUAUCAAGUUAAGAGGAGAUGAAAAGUAUAAAGGGAUGAAGAGAAAGGUAAGAUGACACUAGAGACUGAGUCCCGCAUACAAUAGGAACUCAAUGAAUUCUAACAGCUUCCCUCCCUUCUCUUCCUACCCAUCUAAAUCAGCUUAUUCCCCCUAUCACUGCUUACAAAAAUAUUUCAUUUCCACAUUAAACAGGAGGAAGGUGAAAGGAAGGGGACAAUGUACCAGUAAAUAAAUGGUAUGCUAGAACCAUGUAACCAUGGCUACUGUGCUCCUAAUGUUCCUUUAGGAAAAAAAAAUACACAAAAACAAAAAUAGUUAGAAUUUAUAAUCCUCAAUUUGAACUAAAGUAUUGUAAAUGAUUUAGAAACUUCAAAAUGUUUGAAUUCCAAAGUGUAAGGUAACUAGGAGAGAAUAAAAAUUUACCUUCUGGAGGUUCAUCAUUAAGAUA